rnacentral:misc_RNA from 1 species
GAUGAAGAACGCAGCGAAAUGCGAUAAGUAAUGUGAAUUGCAGAAUUCAGUGAAUCAUCGAAUCUUUGAACGCACCUUGCGCUCCUUGGUAUUCCGAGGAGCAUGCCUGUUUGAGUGUCAUUAAAUUCUCAAUCCUCUCUGGGUUUUUUCUCAGUUCGGAUUGGAUAAUGGGGGCUUUGCUGGCUUGAAUAAGGUCAGCUCUCCUAAAAUAUAUUAGCAAGACUCUUGUUGCAGCCUUCUAUUAUGGUGUGAUAAUUAUCUACAUCAUAGAUUGCAUGCAGUAAAAAAAUGUCAGGCUUCUAACAGUCCAUUGACUUGGACAAACUAAUUGACAAAUUUGACCUCAAAUCAGGUAGGACUACCCGCUGAACUUAAGCAUAUCAAUAAGCGGAGGA